AUAUUUAAAGAGUCAUCGUAAAAAUAUCUAUAAUACGAAAUUUUAUAUACGAAAAUAUAUUAUUUUUUUAUCGACAUAUAAAAAUAACAACAUUCAAAUUUCGUAAAAACUUCAAUUCAAUUGCUCGAGUUGCAAAAUCGUUAUUACUUGUAGUUUCAUUUAUAGGUUAUGCAUAAUUUGUAAGCAUAAAUGUUUAUUGUUUUAGUCGGCUUUUCAACAAAUUUUCAUCAAAAUAUUAUUCAUUUUCGAUUUAUAUUUCCUUACGACCUCUUUUCGUUCGACUGAAUCGGUAUCCGUUUUCAAAAUUUUCCACCAAGUUUCUUCGUAUUUUUAGUUAUAAAUACAGAUAGAAGAAGUCGCAGCUCGAGUGAGAUUAUACUCUAAAUUUUCAUUAGACAGGAUCAUUAAUCGUGGUCAUUUUGUUCGGUGUGUAUAUGUGCAUGUGUGGCGAAAUAUACAUGUAAACUUCGUUCUUUCGUAAAAUCAGUUAUAGAAAAGAAAACAGAAUAAAGAAAGAGAAAGAUAAGAAGAGGAGACGUCGCGGCGCCUAUCCAGCAUGCGAACGACGCCGUCUAGCUCAAUUUUGAAUUUAACAAUUACCAUGAGAUCUGGCUCAGAAUUUUUUCACUAAACUUUUUAAAAUAUCCUCAAAUAACCUAAAAAAUUGUACAAUGUAUGCAUAUCCUAUAUCGUACAUACAUCAAAAUCAAACUAUAUAUAUAUAUAAAAUUGAAAAGAAGAGAAAUAUUUUUAAGCUAAGAGAAAGCUAAUUUUCACAGAUAAAAAAAGUUAAGUGCUAAUCCAGCAAGUUAAACUUGACAUACUUUCGAAAUAUGGCAUCCAAUGCAUUAAGAUCCAAAGAAUCUUGGGUGCGCAGUAAUGAAAGCAUAGGUUGGUGAGAAGUGUUAGAGCGUCAGGAUGUUCGGCGCCACAUUGCCGCGACCCAAAUAGUAAUAAUACUGUCGGCGAAGCUUCUGUCGAUGGAGACGCUGUUGCGAGUGAUGGAGGACGAGGAAGAAUGACCGUACACCACCUACAUUUGCCUCAAUCUUGGACUCUGCGUAUACAUUAUUAUUCGAGUAAAUUUUUACGAGUCCUUUGGAUCGACCACACGUCUCUUCUAUGGCCCUUGUUUAGAUUAUUCUAACCUAUCUUAUGGUUACACGAUGCGUGUACCUAUGCAGAAAUUUCAAGGAAGACCAUUAAGGGAAAGAGAAAGAAACUUUUCUCGUGUUGAUAAAUCAAGUUACGACACCCACGUAAUACUGGUUGGGAAAAAUUCGAGCAAGCAGAUAUAAUAAUAAGAACGAUGUACCGUUUCGUGUUUCAGACGAGAUCGAUUUUCCACGAAACGAAACGGACGAAACUUUUGCGACCAAUGUGAAAAACGAUUUUUCGAAUUAAUAAAAAAUAGAUAAUUGUGCAUUAUCAAGUAAUGAUUAACUAUGUCAAUGAAGCUCGUCAAUAUUUAUCUCAUGAUUAGAAUGAUUGCAUGGAGCUAAUUGUAUCAAUUACGUGCAAUUUUGUCGGCCGAGUUUAGAUCAGAUCCAAAAUGGCGAUUAGUUGUUUGGCUAUCGAGGAAUCCGCUUUCACGGAUAAACGCCGAAUUAAUUCACUGCUCUCUGUUUUCAUACGAUAGAUAUUAUUCGCUCGUAUCCUUUUAUUGUAAUAUGAAUUGGCCGAUUGCCAAAAACGAUUUUAUUACUUUUAUGUUCGGUGAAAAAUUGAUGGAAUAUUUCAUUUAGGUAUGAAAAUAAAAAUUUACUCGAAUAAGUAAUAGUUGCAGUUUCCACGAAUAAUUUAUCAUUUUUGAUGAACAAGUACAGUUUUACAAAG